rnacentral:lncRNA from 1 species
GGCUGGAGUGCAGUGGCGCGAUCUCAGCUCACUGCAAGCUCCACCUCCCGGGUUCACGCCAUUCUCCUGCCUCAGCCUCCCGAGUAGCUGGGACCACAGGUGCCCACCACCACGCCCGGCUAAUUUUUUGUAUUUUUAGUAGAGACGGGGUUUCACCGUGUUGGCCAGGAUGGUCUCGAUCUCCUGACCUUGUGAUCCACCCACCUCGGCCUCCCAAAGUGCUGGGAUGACAGGUGUGAGCC